GAAGAGAGUCAGUACGGGGGUGUCCCGUCAGUUGAAUGAGGCCCCUUGGCUACCGGGCUGCUCCUAUUGGGGACAGCGACAUCAGUGUCCCUGUUGCCAUACCAUGGAGGCAAUCGUUUGGCACCGUCCAUGCAUGAUGCCAGCAUGACCAUUGGCGGUAGUGGACACUACCCUGCUCCCGCGGAGACGGUCAUUUACAUAGUUGAACACGCAGCACCGAUUAAUAGGUUUAAGGGUGGCUUUGGAGGCGGGUAUGGCAAUGGCCUCAGCGCAAGCAGCACUGGUGGUACGGGAAACGGUGGCCAACGAGGGAGUAGUACUGUCUACAUCGUGGAACAGAUUUCCGAUGGCAGAUCCGGAACACAUAGUGGACCAUGGCAGCAAGCAGUUGGAAGAGGAAGCUUCGCAGGGAAAGCGGUGUUUGGACGACCAGAAACAUUUUGGACUAUUGGCCUAACUAGCGACGGAAGCAAAUCUGUGAAACUUCGAGGUAGAAACAGAGGCAGAAGCCAUAAUUCAUGGCAGUACUCGUAGAGGAAUGGAUAGAUUUCGACCUGAUAGUAGGAGUUCUUGCCUCACCUGUGGUCACCUCAUUUGCCUCAUAAACAUGUCUGGUAUGGUGAUUGUUUCCGCGCAUGUUCUGUGUUGAGCAGUGU